CUCUCCUAAUGCCAACAAUUUGAACUUAUCUCGUGGUGGUUCGCUCUCUCCCCAACAUUGCAAUUCGUAAUCAAAAGUUAGAGCACAGGCAUGCCGGAACCCAGCAGCAAUCAUGCUAAAAUUCCCUUCGUGAGAGCCAUUGACAGGAGGAUUGUUUCCGAAGCAAGUAAUAUUACCAAAUCUUAAUAAUCCACAAACGAAGUCUUCACCUACUGCAAUACUGGAAAAGCUCAAACUCUGAGCAUGAGCAGAGAUAGACUGGAAU
rnacentral:misc_RNA from 1 species